UACAGAGGUCCCAAGCGUUGUUCGGAUUUACUGGGCGUAAAGGGUGCGUAGGUGGUUGGGUAAGUCUGAUGUGAAAUCUCCGGGCUCAACCCGGAAAUGGCAUUGGACACUAUUUGACUAGAGGGUUGGAGGGGGGACUGGAAUACUUGGUGUAGCAGUGAAAUGCGUAGAGAUCGUAAGGAAGACCAGUGGCGAAGGCGGGUCUCUGGACAGUUCCUGACACUGAGGCACGAAGGCCAGGGGAGCAAACGGG
rnacentral:rRNA from 1 species